UUUUGGACAAUGGGGGCAACCCUGAUCCAGCAAUGCCGCGUGAGUGAAUAAGGCCUUCGGGUUGUAAAGCUCUUUUGUCAGGGAAGAAACGGUGGGGGCUAAUAUCCUCUGCUAAUGACGGUACCUGAAGAAUAAGCACCGGCUAACUACGUGCCAGCAGCCGCGGUAAUACGUAGGGUGCAAGCGUUAAUCGGAAUUACUGGGCGUAAAGCGUGCGCAGGCGGUUGUGCAAGACAGAUGUGAAAUCCCCGGGCUCAACCUGGGAAUUGCAUUUGUGACUGCACGGCUAGAGUGUGUCAGAGGGGGGUAGAAUUCCACGUGUAGCAGUGAAAUGCGUAGAUAUGUGGAGGAAUACCGAUGGCGAAGGCAGCCCCCUGGGAUAACACUGACGCUCAUGCACGAA
rnacentral:rRNA from 1 species